GAUGAAGAACGUAGCGAAAUGCGAUAAGUAAUGUGAAUUGCAGAAUUCAGUGAAUCAUCGAAUCUUUGAACGCAUCUUGCGCUCCUUGGUAUUCCUUGGAGCAUGCCUGUUUGAGUAUCAUGAGCAAAUCUCAAAGUCAAUUCCUUUUGUUAAUUCAAUUGGUUUAGCUUUGGACUUGGAGGUCUUGCAGAUUUCACAGUCUGCUCCUCUUAAAUGCAUUAGCUGGAUCUCAGUAAUUAUGCUUGGUUCCACUCGGCGUGAUAAGUAUCACUCGCUGAGGACACUGUUAAAAAGGUGGCCAGGAAAAUACUGAUUGAACCGCUUCUAACGGUCUAUUAAGUUAGACAAUUGACCCCUUAAGUUUGAUCUCAAAUCAGGUAGGACUACCCGCUGAACUUAAGCAUAUCAAUAAGCGGAGGA
rnacentral:misc_RNA from 1 species